AUUGAACGCUGGCGGCAUGCUUUACACAUGCAAGUCGAACGGUAACAGGCCUUCGGGUGCUGACGAGUGGCGAACGGGUGAGUAAUGCAUCGGAACGUGCCCAGAGGUGGGGGAUAACGCAGCGAAAGCUGUGCUAAUACCGCAUGUGAUCUGAGGAUGAAAGCGGGGGACCAGGCAGCAAUGUUUGGCCUCGCGCCUUUGGAGCGGCCGAUGUCAGAUUAGGUAGUUGGUGGGGUAAAGGCCUACCAAGCCGACGAUCUGUAGCUGGUCUGAGAGGACGAACAGCCACACUGGGACGGAGACACGGCCCAGACUCCUACGGGAGGCAGCAGUGGGGAAUUUUGGACAAUGGGCGCAAGCCUGAUCCAGCAAUGCCGCGUGCGGGAAGAAGGCCUUCGGGUUGUAAAACGCUUUUGUACGGAACGAAAAGGCUCUGGCUAAUACCUGGGGCUGAUGACGGUACCGUAAGAAUAAGCACCGGCUAACUACGUG
rnacentral:rRNA from 1 species